rnacentral:lncRNA from 1 species
AUGAAUGUGGCAGUUGGAGUUCCAGCACUUACGGCCAACAACUUCAGGCCUCUUUUCCAAAAUACCACAAACUUGUGUUUCCCUUAUCAGCAAGAAGCAGGCAGCAAGAAGCAGACAGCAAGGUAUGGGGUCCUAUGGACCAGACUUCAAGCAUUAUACUCUGAGAGCAUGAGAAAAUGACUUCUCUCUCCAUUUGUGAAAAUGUGCACAUUGCUAUCCACGUCCUCAGGUUGAUGCACACGAGGACAUGAGAUAAAGACGUGCGGCAAAGUGCACAGCACAGCAUGAAGGCUCUACAAUCGUUAAUCCUUCCACUUUCCCACACGGCCAUCUCCAAGUG